CGUAGGGUGCAAGCGUUAAUCGGAAUUACUGGGCGUAAAGCGUGCGCAGGCGGUUGUGCAAGACAGAUGUGAAAUCCCCGGGCUCAACCUGGGAAUUGCAUUUGUGACUGCACGGCUAGAGUGUGUCAGAGGGGGGUAGAAUUCCACGUGUAGCAGUGAAAUGCGUAGAGAUGUGGAGGAAUACCGAUGGCGAAGGCAGCCCCCUGGGAUAACACUGACGCUCAUGCACGAAAGCGUGGGGAGCAAACAGGAUUAGAUACCCUGGUAGUCCACGCCCUAAACGAUGUCAACUAGUUGUCGGGUCUUAAUUGACUUGGUAACGCAGCUAACGCGUGAAGUUGACCGCCUGGGGAGUACGGUCGCAAGAUUA
rnacentral:rRNA from 1 species